UACGUAGGGGCAAGCGUUGUCCGGAAUUAUUUGGGCGUAAAGCGCGCGCAGGCGGUUAAUUAAGUUGGGUGUUUAAGCCCGGGGCUCAACCCCGGUUCGCAUCCAAAACUGGUUGACUUGAGUGUAGGAGAGGAAAGUGGAAUUCCACGUGUAGCGGUGAAAUGCGUAGAGAUGUGGAGGAACACCAGUGGCGAAGGCGACUUUCUGGCCUAUAACUGACGCUGAGGCGCGAAAGCGUGGGGAGCAAACAGG
rnacentral:rRNA from 1 species